rnacentral:rRNA from 1 species
GAUGAACGCUGGCGGCGUGCCUAAUACAUGCAAGUCGAGCGAACAGACGAGGAGCUUGCUCCUCUGACGUUAGCGGCGGACGGGUGAGUAACACGUGGAUAACCUACCUAUAAGACUGGGAUAACUUCGGGAAACCGGAGCUAAUACCGGAUAAUAUAUUGAACCGCAUGGUUCAAUAGUGAAAGACGGUUUUGCUGUCACUUAUAGAUGGAUCCGCGUCGCAUUAGCUAGUUGGUAAGGUAACGGCUUACCAAGGCAACGAUGCGUAGCCGACCUGUGAGGGUGAUCGGCCACACUGGAACUGGGACACGGUCCUGACACCUACGGGAGGCAGCGGUAGGGAAUCUUCCGCAAUGGGCGAAAGCCUGACGGAGCAACGCCGCGUGAGUGAUGAAGGUCUUCGGAUCGUAAGACUCUGUUAUUAGGGAAGAACAAAUGUGUAAGUAACUAUGCACGUCUUGACGGUACCUAGUCAGAAAGCCACGGCUAACUACGUG